UUUCUUGCUUGAAGGGUAGACUAUAAUUUAUGACACAUUAAUUUGGGAAUUCAACAUGGUAGGAUCUAACUAACAUUUCCAGUUGGACGUUGGAGUUCUCGUCGCUGUAUUUCGUCACAAGCAGGUUUCUUAACAUGAUUGGAGGCAGUUCGCCAGGCGUCCGAAUCAAAAUUUGCUACUUAUUGGGAUAUAUUCCCAAUAAGGAGUAAAAACGCUUCAUAUUAUAAAGGAAUACUGCGCAAUUAAAGAUAAGUAACUGCACCUUUUACAUUCCCUAUUUAGUCAUAUUGUUUUCUUUGUUUUCAGUUUCAUAAAAGUGUGAAGUUCGGCACCGAACCGAAAUCAUCAACAAACAUAAUUAAAAAUGAAUAAUAAAAACAUCGACAAUAAGGUUAUGGACUACCAACAAAAAAUGAACAGGAUAAUACUAACUUAAUUCAGUUCAGUGUUGUGGGGAAAAACCCACGGUUCAAGUCGGGCACAAAAAAGGUGUCAAGGUAUAGUCAACCUUUGUUUUUUUUCCAACAACCAUCCGACGCCGCUUCAGUAAAGGUUGUAUUUUUUAAAAGUGAUAUGGAGAGCAAAGCCAUUCAAUUUGAGUUGCGAACAUCCUUUCAACGAAUUUUAAUGCAGAUAUUCUUACUGGUGAGCGUUUUAAGUAUUUUUAUUUACCUAUUCUAGUAUUAAGUAUUAGUUAUUAAAAAUAUAAAUAAUUCAAACAUGUAAAACAACACAAUUAAAUACAUACAUAAAUUAUACAGUUAUAUAAAAUGUCAAGAAAAUAAAAAAAAAUAAAAAAAAAACAAAUAAAUAUCACAGAUCGAAAAAGUAAUAAUGAACUAAGUUAAAACUAAUCUAAAAUUUAGUAAAUAUCACAGAUUAAGAAAAAUAUAAUUAACUAAACUACAAUUAAACUAAAAUUAAGUAAAUAUCACAGAUUAUAAAAAAAAAUUAACUAAAUUAUCAGUCUUUAAAAUUUAUCAAAAUUUAUAAAAUCACAGAUGCUUAAUAGUUUUUAUCACAGUUUAGUACCUAAGUAUAUAAUUUAAAUCAAAACAUAUAACAAAAUAGCAAAAUAAAUAACAUUAAGUAACAUACGUAGAAC